UGUUAUAGGGUAUGUGGGUACAGCUUGUCAGACAUCAGUACACCAAAGGCUUCAGCUUUUCGCCAGGAAUUUCAGAAGCACCAAAAUUUCAUCCGUGUGUCUGAUUUUCUCCUGCCCUCUUGUGUUGUCAUUGCACCCUUUGCAAAUGUACUAAACUAGAGUGAUGAUGUUUGGCACAUGGUAUCCUCUUUACACAGAGUCAUCAGCUCUUGGAUUCACAAGUCUCUGCAAUGAUUCAGCAGCAGAUCACGCACUUGCUGUUUCCUUCCAGAGUGAUGUGCACAACAAACAAGCAAAGUGAGUGAAACUGGCCCAGCAAAUAAAAAAGUACUCCCGGCUCAGGAUCUGACCCACACUUCGAUCACGGCUGUGCGGUCCAGCCUUCCCCAUGUCACUCUAGCCUGGCGUCUCCCAAGCAGCCACUUUUUGUUGCACAAUAAGAUGAGGUGGAGGAGCCAAAAUUAGCACCUUCUUCCUUAGGCAAAGUCCCAGUUGCAGCACCAUUGCCUGGCCCCAGACCACGAGGCUGUCGCUGGAGCUAGUUUUCAGUCAAAGAAUGUGAGAUGUGUUGCAACCGACACAGCUCGAAAAAUGGAUCAGUUCUGAGGAAAUCUCCUUUUCAGCCUCUCCACAUAAGGCAACUUCUCCCUGCUCCUGAUCAUGUUCGCCAGCAUUCUCUGGACUUUCUGUGAUUCCACUAUGCAGUUAUUGAGACAUGGUGACCAGAACUGCACGUGGUACUCCAUGGUACUUGCCUUCAUUCUCUUUAGGAAGACUUUUCUUUUUUUAAUUUCAGUGUUUUCCACUAAAUGGAAAAAUGGAAAAAAACGGUUUUGUUGUGCUCUUCUUGUAACAUCAUGCCUUGACAUGAAUCAACAGAAACAAAUUUGGGGGUGAAAAUUUGUUUUGGAACUUUUCCAUUUUUCUUGUCAUGGCCCCAUAGAUCUGGAAUCGGGAACAGAGGCAUAAAAGCGAAGAGCCUGUGCUCUUUGGGUUGCUUCCCAGUGAACAAUUUAAUUUGUGAACACAAAGCCAGCCCCUCUCUCCUUGACAGUGUCCAGACCUCACCAGGAAUCACAGGUGUAGUUAAAAAGUAAUUGGAUAAAACUACUCUAUAGUCCCUGUGAGUCCCUUUGGCAAAACGUUUCCUGUGAACAUGAAUGAACUGAAGUCUGAAAAGUGAAGGAAAGCCAGAGGGGAACAAGCAUUUCUGUGCUAGCUGGCAAAUGCUGGAAACCAGCAAUUUAGGCUCUGAUUCCCCCCAUCUGUCAGGGAUGCAGAUAAAACUAGGACAGCAAUUUGGUCCUCUGUUGCAGGGAGGGUUACAAUGUCCAGAGAGGGCGGUGAAAGCCGUUUGUGCUCCUUUGUGCAAGAUCAAGUCAAUCAGGAGGUUUCUGCAUCUGUGAUGGUGUUAGAGCAGAGGGCAAUGCACUGGCAGGAGAUUGCUACCAGCCAAACCCAGCUCCUUCGGGAGAGGCCGUAGCACAUCUUGAGCAGAGAAUGUCCCAGAGAAGACAUUUAUACUGCUAAAUGGAGGUUCCUGAUUGAGAGGAAGAAAAGGGUCUUCUUUGAGACCACUUUUCUUCAGCCCACACAUCAAACCAGUGGGGCAGUCCAAGCACCAUUUUCCUGCCUGGCUUCCCAAGAGCACAGGUUUCACCAUCUUUGUCUGUUGUCUCUCUGAAAUCCACAUGAAGCCACAUGAGGUUACAGCCAGCCUUAAGCACUUUGGAGUACUGUUGCUUCUUCCUUAAUUCUUUGGUGGAUGUGAGUAGAGUAAACAAGCCUGGCAUGAUCAGAAGAGCACAGCUUGCUGAAAGUUCCCAUACCAGAUGCAUCCUUACGUGGCUGAUACGGUCCUUGUACCCAUACAGGGCUAAGGCUCAGCAUCACCUGGCCAGAACCAGGAAAACCUUUCUCUGAUGCAGCCCAAAUGGGCCAGCCUCUAUCUCACAGCUCCUCCUCUGUCAUUGAUAUCAGGACUGAAGCUAAUUGUUCACUUGCUACUGGCAGCUCAGAGCAUUUUAAUUAUGAAAAUAAAGGGAAUUGACUAUGCUGACACUGUCAACUUGUCUUAGGAAUACGGACGAUUUUCAUUUGGUGUAUGUCAGGACCAUGUCUUAUAGAUAGCAGGCACUGGAUAUAUGAACACUGCGGAUCUCAUGAGUUUGUUGUGUUAAAGGUGGUGGGAAUUUGUUCCGAAGGAAUAUGGGUGAGCUGGAAAGUUGCUGUUCUCUUUUGAAACUUUUUUACACCUCCUAUGAGUGAGUGGUUCCACCAAGCAUGAAGAAACACAGCCAUGGAAAAGUUCACCUCAACUAGAAAGCCUGCUGUCAAGGCCCUGAGUGCACUAAUAGCUCUUAACGAUGCUGACCAGCCUCACCUGGGGUCUCCACCCACACCCUCUGCACAUGGGCCCAGGAGCUCCAUUUAAGCUCAGACCCUGGGCUUUCACUCCCUCCUGGGUUGUGCUGUAGGUAUGUCUGUCUCUAGCUGUGUCUCCUGGAUGGACUGGAGGGCUAUGCUGUAUGUAGGUUGUCUUCUGGAUGGACCCCUCAGGCCUAUGUUGCAGACUUGUCUCUGGCCCCAGCUCUGUCGUCUGCUGCUGCUGUUGAGUGGAUCUCCUUGCAGGGACCCUGGACCUGACUGAUCACUUUGCCUUGUCCAGGGCUGGUGAUGGACCCUGUUACCAGCACCCUGCUCUACCUGCUGUGUUGAGGAUGCAGGACUGUGCCUGGGUUGGUGAGAGAGCUGCCUGUGCUGUGGUCACCCUCAGCUCCUGGCUUGUCCCCACUCAUGGAGAUGCCCUGCUCUCCCUCCUCCCCAACAGACCUUUCUGCUGAAUGGUGCUCAGCGAUGAGGAGGAGUAAUGCUGCUGAAGCUAGUGGAGUUAUACCAAUGCAUAGCCAAAGAACUUGGCAGGGUACUCAUGCAGCUCUGGUGAGAAGAAUUGCAAAUAUCUGAAUAAACUACUGUGCCAUAGAUGAGUUUCUGUGGAGAUGCUUCAGCUGCUGUUGGGGUUGGGACAAAGAAGAAACAAGGCUUCUGGGACUGAAGCAGUUAUAAAAUAGUAAUAAUGGUUUGGAGGACUGUGCUAAUCAAUAUUACCUUCUGUUAUCUGCUGCAAAAGCCCAGAUGAUUCUCACUCCAAGUAUUUUACAAGUUUAAGCAGAUAAGAAAGACAAAAGGCAGGGAGAGGGAAUAUAUUCCUCACUUCUGCUUCUCAUCUGUAAAAAUCAAAGCACUUUGCAGAAACUGGCAGCAGUCUCCCUACACGACUCAUUGAAGAAACUGAAUGAAAACAUGUUCAAGACAAUGUGGAGGAUUACGAGCGAUCAGACUACAGCAGUUGUUCCAGUUCUGCAUUUUUAAUGACUAAGUUACCAUGGCUCAGCUGAUGAACAGUGACUCAUUAAGCCAUAACAACAAGAUUGUGUGCUAGCCUCUAUCUGUACCCUUAAACAGAGAUUCUUACAUGAGACCCUUAAUGCGAUCUGCAGGUUUGACAUGAGCUGGAGAGCCUUAGUAAGCUGCCUUGAGCACAAUCAGCUUCACCAUCUGCACUUACGGCCUGGAUGGUGCCUGUGGGAAGAAGCCUGGACUGUGCCAGUGCUUGAGAACAGCACUCUGGCGAGGGCCAGGCGCUGCAGGUAUCUGGUUACUCGGAGCCUUCCUUGAGGGCAGGGAGCAUGGCUUGACCCUUGACUCUUCAGACUUACCUGGUGGUGCUCAAGCCAGACGGUUGGCAGGGAAUGCCCCACGUGCGUGAGGGACGGCUGAGCCAGCGCAUCACACCAGAAAAAUUCAGUCAUCUAGAGAGUUCAAGGGCAGAUUCAGAGAAGAACCAAAACCACAGAGCUGGGCCUGGAUUUAACAUUGGCUUCCUACAAAGUACAGGGCUUUUGUCCCUCCGCAGUCCCCACCCACAGCCCUUUGAGCUCUGAAAAGCACACGUUUGGAAACCAGCCUCCGUCACAAAAUCCCCCACGUUCUUCCGGCCACAAACCUUCGCCUCAUGCGUCCUGCAGUCGGAGCCACCGAGAGGGGCCCCGAGGGUGGGAUGCCAUAUGCUGAGCCGGCGACAGCAGAGGAGCCACCAGCGCUGUGGGAAAGGUGGGAGCUGGGCCGAGGGGAAGGACCAGAUGCAGCUGAGGGGCCCCGACGGCCCUCGGGGGAACAGGAGCCGAGGGCAGGAACCACCUCGCCAGCCCCACCGAGGGGAUUCCCAUGCUGGGCUCUGCUGGCGGGAGCAAAACCACUUUCCCGGAGGAAAACAGGCAGCCGCUGUCCUGGCAGAGCGUGCAGCGUCGACACGCUAAGACUUUUGGUCCCUGCUUGUCACCCUCGCAAGGGGACAGUCCCAAAAGGCUGGGCAGGAUCCGGUGUACAUGGGAUGCUCCUUGGCCCAGGACAGGGCAGCGCUGCCUGGUGCUGGUAGGAUUUUGGUACUGGUGGCCCGAGGAUGGCCACCGAUGCUCGUCUCUGGUCCUGUGGUCUCCAGUGCUUCCUCACAGCUCCUUUGCAGAGGAGAGCGAUGGCACCCAGCCAAGAAGUCCUGCCUGCUCUGCCCUCUCCACCACCCUGGCAGUGGGGCUGCAGGUCUUUCCGGCCUCCCCACCUCCCUGCGUGACUAACAGAGCUGGCCGGCUCCCAGGGAUGUCAGCGCGGGACCCCAACCAAGGCCGGGGAGCCAAGAGGAACAGGAAAGCCCAGAGCCUCCUUCCUCACCACCCUCCUCCUCCUCGCCGCCUGCCAGCUGCCUUCCUGGGCCAAGGGUGGCCGUGGGUGGCCCCGUCUCCCGUUGGCCCAGACGGGAACAGCCGCUCCCUAUUACUCAUGGGGAUGAUGCGGGGGGAUGCAGAGGCGGAAAGUCGGAGUUAAUGGAAAGUGGGCACUUGCCUCUGACCUUGUCUUCACAUCGCCGCAGCUGGGGCUGAGCUCAGCCAGCCAGCCCCGGCCUCCUGCGGGUGCGAGGCCCGCGAGUGGCAGCCGGCUGGCAAGGGGACCCGGCUUUUGCCUGCGAACUUGGACGUGCCUCUCCGUCCUCAGCCAGGCAGCCGGGAGAGACUGCUGGGAAACAUCGAGGUGAGAGGGAGUACACAGCCGUGGCCCUGAAACGCAGCCAGGCGCCUGGGCGCACGAACACACGCGUGUGCCAGAGACACGUCCUGGUCCGCGCGCAGAGGCACACGCGUAGCUGUGCCCGGCUCCAGGGGCUCAGCUGCCUCACUGACGUACCGACAGCCGCGGAGGGGAGGGGGACGGGGACGGGGCGUACGAGCUGAACAACGGGAGUCUGAACUCAAGCUGCAGCACUAAGCUCAACCUUGUUUCCCUGCUCUCCGCACUGGGAACUGGUGACACAUCAGCAAGGCUGCCCCGUGCCCAGGGAUGCCACCUGAGCCUCCCCACCCUCGCCCGUCCCUCUGCCCUCUCCCAUGGAGGGGCUGAUCCUCUCCAGCAUUAUCUUAUGACAAAAAUGCACCCAAAAAUAACAUGAGGGGAAAAAGCACCCAAACCAUGCUAGAGGUUGUCUGAAAAGCUUCCUUCCACCCUUGUUACAGGCCAGACCCUCCUGUGCUCUGAGUCCUCCUCCUCCAGGGCCAGUGGCAUAAAGAGGUCUUUAAGCAGAAACCCACAGCCCUUAAUGGUGAUCACCUGCCCGAGCUUUUAAAAAUUGCGACUGUUCUCCAUGUUUCCCAACAGCGAGGCUCUCCAGUGGUGCAAUGGCGAGACCGUACAGGAAGGACCAGUGACCAGAAAGGUCAAGAAGGGCCGGCGUCAUGUUUGCAGAAAGCAUGGAUGUAUUUUUACACAAAAAACAUUGCUCAAGGAAAAUCUUUGGAUAUGAAUAAUUCAGGCUUGCUGUGACUCUGAGAGGAGUUUGAGGCUUGAACCUUCAGUUGUUUCCAGGCUCAUUUUCUGCAGAUCUCAAAGUGAGGGGCAAAUCCAGCCGAAAUACCUUGAAAGUAGCUAAUUUUUUUUUAUUUCCAGGGGCUCUGAGCACCAUCUGCAUCUGGUUCUUCAUCUCCGUGCUCCACGGCCAAGUGCCCCAGGUCCCGCAUCCCCUCUCUUCCUCUCUGACGCUUGGCCCCUGAACUCAUGGAAAGUACUCGGCAGCGGCGUGGGCGAGCGGUGAGGAGCUCGAGCGCUGGCCGAGCUGCCGGAGGAGCUGGUGGCGUGGCAUUUUCCAGGCCGACGCGGAUGUGAAGUCAGCUCCGCGCUCACGCUGGCGUGACUCGCUGCUUCCCCACCCCAACGCGUGCAGGCGCUGCUCCCGGCGCCUCGCGGCAGCCAUCUGCUGAACCGCCGCCUCUGCAGGUUUCAGGCCCUGGCUGUGCAUCUGCUCCACAUAUUUGUGCUGCGGGAUGAGGGUCAAGCCAGGCAUGAGAGCAACCACAUCCAGCAAGGGCCGAAGACCUCAUGCGAAGCGUAGUCCCUCUGCGAAGCGGCUGCUGCUGCCUGCUCCACCUCCUCCUCGCUCUGCUCCGUUAACCCUCCCAAAUGCUUUGGGAUAAGCUGUGAAAAUCGGGGCAGGCUCCAGCGGGACCCUGCAGCUCCCACUAGUGCAAGAAGCAUCAGGAAGCCACAGGGAUCCCUUUUCCUCCAUGUAUGUCCUAGCUGCUGGUUAUUAUGGGAUGGAUGCAUAUGUAUCUCUGCCACAUUUUGACCAGAAAUUCUAUCCGGGUCAAAACUAGUAAAUAUGUUCCUGGCAAAAAUCAUUAUUUCCAAUGAAUCAACAUUUUCCUGUAGAAAAGCCACUUCCAGAAUCUGCCUCAGUCACUUUUCCUGCUCAGUGCUCAGCUCAAGGCGAGACGGCAGCUGGACUCAGAGCCGCAGGCACGUUCUGGGCUGCGAGCGGGCCGAAACGGGGCUCCUGGAAAGCUCGGCUGUGACAAGGUGGAAUUUUCCAAACCGAGGACAAAACAAAGGAUCGACCGAACCCGGUGCCAGCAAAUCGCUGUCGGGCGGCAUUCAAAGGGAGCGGUGCCCUCGGUGCCGCCCACCCUCCUGGGACCCGGAGGAGGUCUGACCUAAAUCUGCUCUCCCUGAAACUCAUCAUUGACUGCAGAGGAGGAGAACGGAGCCAGUCCUGAAUGCGCCCAAAAUCGCUGGGGCUGGUAACAAGGCAUCAGUCAUCAGUGCUAAAAUACGGAGCUGGGAUAUAGAGAACACGCCGGAUCCAACCCAGGGAGCUUCUCCCCCAACUCCUUCCCCGAACCAGGGGACCGGCUGGAGAUCUCCGGGCCCAUCAGGGCGAUGCCACCAUCUUCAGCACCUUCCCCAGCAAGGGGCUAGUUACGGGGAUGGGUCGGAAAACACCCAUUAUUCAAGAGAUGUUGAAGCUUUUCUGUUUUAUUGCUCUUUUCCCUGUUAAAAAUUCCUGAAAUAAUUUUUUUCAGGCUCUCAACCACCAAAAAGAGAGGGAUAUUUUGGAUUGCUGCUUUUAGUUAAAGCAUUUAGAGACUUUCUGCAAGUGCGUGUGUGUGUUUGGGGUUUCGGUGAAAGGCUUGGGUCUUUGCCAAAUAUGGGAAAUGUCAACAGAAUAUAUAUUUUCCCCUCCACAGAUUUGUUGAAAAGUGCCUUCUCCAUCAGUAAAAUUUCACAGUGACUUUUUUUUCUCCCCCUUCUUCUGUUCACCUGCUUGCAGGGCUGUGCCAGGGGACCACAGUGGUUUCUUGCAAGCGCCCUCGGCUCACCGGAGCGCAUCCCCCACCGCCACGAACCGAGGCGCGAGCUCAGUCUAAUGCGUGGCUUCGCUGAAAGCACUUUCCGGUGAAUAUAAAUCCGAGGAGGGGCGACGAUUAAAUCGCUGGUCUAUUUUCGGCAGGGAAGAGCAUCCCAGCCCCUCGGGAGCAUCCCAGCGUCUCAGCGUCGGCACGUUGACCCGUCCUGGCCCAGCACCCAGACCCCAGCGGGUGAUAUCGGAGGGGCCCUGCAGGACAUCGCGUCACCUUUGAGCCACCUUGGUCUGCACUUCUGGGCCCUCUGCAGCCACCACCCACAGGAAUCGAGCCCGCUGCUGCCAGAGGAGGCCUUAGUCACAGCUUUCGACUUGCCAGAGAAGAUAUUUAAAAAGAAAAAAAAGCAAAAGAAAAAAAAUGCAAAAGUAAAAAGGAUAACAAAAAAACAAAUAACAGAAAACAAAAUCUGUGGUUUUAAAUUCCAUCCUUGGCUAAACCCCUUUCCAGAGAAACACGUCAACAUGUGCUGCAGCCAGCGGGCUGGAGCAGGAUCCUUGCAGGAAGCACGUGGGCUUUAAUUGCUUCCACCGAACGGGCACAGGAUUGGGAGCGGAGCCGGCCCCGACCCGCGGGUAUCGGGGAAGGCACAGAGCAUUUCCAAAAAGGGCAGCAGGACUCGAGGGUGACUCCCGCCCCGGUUACCCGGGCAGCACGCCGUGCACCUUGCACCGCUGAAAACACCGCGGCAAAACCCUCCUCCCCACGCCGGUUUGCAGAGCCAGCCGCCCCGGGUCCCCUGCUAGGACAGUGGUGCAAUACGUGCUGCCCGUUUCAGUCCUAAUUCCAAAGUUUAGGAAGUUUAUGCGUUAGAGAUGUGUGCCUGCGAGAGACUAUUUUAAAAUAAAUUAAUCAGGCUUUAUUGGAUCAAAUUCUCUGCUGAGAGGCUAACACUUGAUUAUCUUUCUGUUUAAAUGCUGCAUCUAGCCAUUAAUAACUGCCUUGUUAUGUUGUUGAAGUUACAAACCCUUAAUGUGUCUCACUAAAGGGGAAAAUAACAGCCUCUCAAACGAAGCGCCAGCGGUAGGAAAGGAAAAGACCAUUUACGCAAGGAAAAGUCCCCUGGAAAUAUUGCGAAAAACAUGGGCCAGAUCUUAAUUGUGCUUGUUCUAACGCUCCCCCUCGGGGGAAAAUCAGCCUCCCUAAACAGUUAUCUGCAAAACAGGAAAAAAAAUCCCAGUUGAUAUUUCUCACUGCUUAAAUAACGCACAACAAAUUCAACACAAUAUCAAUAGCACAGUGCAUUCAAGUUAUCUUUUUUAUCUGCUGCACCCAGAAAGGGGCAUUUUGCACUGCUCCCGCAAGAGCAGUCGAAGCAGGAAAGGGGAAGGAGCUGAUUGCACCAAGCUAGAAAAAGACAAGGGAAAUUUUGGCCUGGAGGUCCAACACCUGAAAACAGUGAAAGGUCGCGUUAAACGCUGCAAUACCCAACAAGGUGCCAUGCAAAUGGCUUUGGCGCUUGGCACCAGCCACGUUACGCAGCGCGAAGCAGGUGCUGCCGCUUUCUGCUCUUGCAGUGUUUUUUCAUGCUGCUUUUCCUUAGGAGCCUGGACAAACCUUUAACUCUUCAGUUUGGGGGAUAAAGAGAAAAAAAUGCAAUAGAAAGAAAGAAAACGUAACUAGUCUUUUAACAGCCGUUGUGUGCAACUCAAAGGUUUUUCAGGGUUUUCCACCAUGGAUGAGACGUGGCACGCACGCGCUGUCCAAACCAGAUUCCCCGAGUGGCUAGUGCAGGGUCCGAUCUGUUGUUUUUAAGGAAAAGCAAAGGAUUUCACCCUGCAUUGGGUCGCCAUUCCUAGCAGGGCAGUUUCCAGACCACACCGUAUGCAGAGCUGAGGAUGCAAAGAGGAGAAAACUGAACGUGAGGCCGAAGCACACGCAGACUAUCGCCUUUCCGGACAGGCUGCACACUGACUUUGGGACUUUCUAGCUAUCCGCGUUAAGGGUGACGUGAAGUAAAUGAGGGUUAAAAAGCCUCUUUAACUGCUGCUCUUGUCAAAUUAGCAGGGCAAGGUGCUGAGGCUGGGGCUAAUGAAUGGAAGAAUUGAUUAAAUAUGUCACAUUUCGG